rnacentral:rRNA from 1 species
CUGCGAGUGAAGCGGGAAGAGCUCAAAUUUUGAAUCUGGCAGUCCUUGGCUGUCCGAGUUGUAAUCUAGAGAAGUGUUUUCCGCGCUGGACCGUGUAUAAGUCUCCUGGAAGGGAGCGUCGUAGAGGGUGAGAAUCCCGUCUUUGACAUGGACUACCAGUGCUAUGUGAUGCGCUCUCGACGAGUCGAGUUGUUUGGGAAUGCAGCUCAAAAUGGGUGGUAAACUCCAUCUAAAGCUAAAUACAGGCGAGAGACCGAUAGCGAACAAGUACCGUGAGGGAAAGAUGAAAAGAACUUUGGAAAGAGAGUUAAACAGUACGUGAAAUUGCUGAAAGGGAAACGCUUGAUGUCAGUCGCGUUGGCUGGGGAUCAACCUUGCUUCUCGCUGGGUGUACUUCCCGGUCGACGGGUCAGCGUCAGUUUCAGUCGCCGUACAAGGGCAAGGGGAACGUGGCACUCCUCGGAGUGUGUUUAUAGCCUUUCGUCAUAUGCGGUGGUUGGGACUGAGGAGCUCAGCACGGCUUCUUGCUUGUGCUCAGGAUGCUGGCAUAAUGGCCUUAAGCGACCCGUCUUGAAACACGGACCAAGGAGUCUAACAUGCCUGCGAGUGUUUGGGUGGUAAACCCGAGCGCGUAAUGAAAGUGAAAGUUGAGACCUCUGUCGUGGAGGGCAUCGACGCCCGGACCUGAGUCUUUGACGACGGAUCUGCGGUAGAGCAUGUAUGUUGGGACCCGAAAGAUGGUGAACUAUGCCUGAAUAGGGUGAAGCCAGAGGAAACUCUGGUGGAGGCUCGUAGCGAUUCUGACGUGCAAAUCGAUCGUCGAAUUUGGGUAUA